rnacentral:tRNA from 1 species
AGGGGUGUGGCUCAAUGGCUUAGAGUGCCUGCCUAGGAAGUAUAAGGUCCUGAGUUCAAGCCCUAGCAACUCCA